rnacentral:rRNA from 1 species
AUACGGAGGGUGCAAGCGUUAAUCGGAAUUACUGGGCGUAAAGCGCGCGUAGGCGGUUUAGUAAGUCGGAUGUGAAAGCCCUGGGCUCAACCUGGGAAUUGCAUUCGAUACUGCUUGACUAGAGUAUGGUAGAGGGAAGUGGAAUUUCCGGUGUAGCGGUGAAAUGCGUAGAUAUCGGAAGGAACACCAGUGGCGAAGGCGACUUCCUGGGCCAAUACUGACGCUGAGGUGCGAAAGCGUGGGGAGCAAACAGGAUUAGAAACCCCGGUAGUCC